rnacentral:rRNA from 1 species
AGAGUUUGAUCAUGGCUCAGGACGAACGCUGGCGGCGUGCUUAACACAUGCAAGUCGUACGAGAACGAGGUAGCAAUAUCUUUAGUAAAGUGGCGCACGGGUGAGUAACACGUAAGUAACCUGCCUUUAGGUUCGGGAUAACCCCGAGAAAUCGAAGCUAAUACCGAAUGAUGCAGCGGAUCCACAUGGAUAUGUUGUUAAAAUCUAUACGGUGCCUAAAGAUGGGCUUGCGUCCGAUUAGCUAGUUGGUAAGGUAACGGCCUACCAAGGCUACGAUCGGUAGCUGGUCUGAGAGGAUGAUCAGCCACACUGGAACUGAGACACGGUCCAGACUCCUACGGGAGGCAGCAGUGAGGAAUAUUGGGCAAUGCCCGGAAGGGUGACCCAGCAACGCCGCGUGGAGGAUGAAUGCCGUAAGGUUGUAAACUCCUGUUAGAGGGGAAGAACAAUUUCGAUCAAAUCGAAACUUGACUGUACCCUCAGAGAAAGCCCCGGCUAACUACGUGCCAGCAGCCGCGGUAAUACGUAGGGGGCUAGCGUUGUCCGGAUUUACUGGGUGUAAAGGGCGCGUAGGUGGGUUUGCAAGUCAGAGGUGAAAUCUCACGGCUUAACCGUGAAACUGCCUUUGAUACUGUAAAUCUUGAGUGCGGAAGAGAGAGACGGAAUUCCAGGUGUAGUGGUGAAAUACGUAGAUAUCUGGAAGAACACCAGUUGCGAAGGCGGUCUCUUGGUCCGACACUGACACUCAGGCGCGAAAGCGUGGGUAGCAAACAGGAUUAGAUACCCUAGUAGUCC